rnacentral:rRNA from 1 species
GGCCUCUAGAGAUAGAGCCUUCCCCUUCGGGGGACAAAGUGACAGGUGGUGCAUGGUUGUCGUCAGCUCGUGUCGUGAGAUGUUGGGUUAAGUCCCGCAACGAGCGCAACCCUUAAGCUUAGUUGCCAUCAUUAAGUUGGGCACUCUAAGUUGACUGCCGGUGACAAACCGGAGGAAGGUGGGGAUGACGUCAAAUCAUCAUGCCCCUUAUGAUUUGGGCUACACACGUGCUACAAUGGACAAUACAAAGGGCAGCGAAACCGCGAGGUCAAGCAAAUCCCAUAAAGUUGUUCUCAGUUCGGAUUGUAGUCUGCAACUCGACUACAUGAAGCUGGAAUCGCUAGUAAUCGUAGAUCAGCAUGCUACGGUGAAUACGUUCCCGGGUCUUGUACACACCGAA